AACCUAGCACACCUGCGGUGUGUACCUGCGGAAGGAUCAUUAAACAACUAGGCCGUAACAAGCCUUGAACCCUUCUCUACGCGCACCCUUACCUUCUCCUUCGGCGGGUCAGCGCCCGCCGUCGGAACCAACAAACCCCCUUUUGCAUCUAGCAUACCACCCGUUCCGAUACAAAACACAAUCGUUACAACUUUUAACAAUGGAUCU
rnacentral:misc_RNA from 1 species